GGCUGCGGGAGAGCUCGCUGCCUGGGGGCUCGGCUGGCUGCCCGGCCAGUCGUUCCUGGAGGACAAAGGCCUGUGGUCCAUGCACCAGCCUCGGCUCCGAGGAGUGGAGACAGCCCCACCCAGGGACACCCAAGAUCCCUGGUGGCUUCAGGCUGCUUAGGCUCAGUGGAGGCGGUGGAGGCUUAGCACGGAAAGCGUAAGGCUCGGAUAUGUGCCCCAGGCCUGCUGACAAAACACCUGCUCUGCAAGCUUUCAAGUGCACGUCCAUGGUUCGUGGCUACAGAUGCACUUGAGUCACUGAAUUCAUCCUUUUCAUAUGUUUUUUUCUAUCAAACAGAGGUAUUAAAAGAUUGGAAUUUUCAUCUCUCUUAAAACGACGUCUGCCAUCAAAAGGAACCCUUGAGAGCUCAGGCACUACUGGCCCCGGGGUGGGUGGGGCGCUCCCUUGGAUGACAUUCCCCAGGACGCUGUGCUGUGGCCAGCACCGACUUCGGGGAGACCAGGGGUUCCUGGGUCUGUGCUUUCUCCUCCCUUCACAGAGAGACACCAGGCGAAGGCCGUCCCGGGUCCUACACGCAGAUGCUUCAAGAGGCAUCUGAAGCGGAUGGGAAGACGGGUCUGCUCUGGGGGAAGCAGCACCUCCGAGUCCAGCUCCCAGCUCACCUGAGACAUACUUGGAGGGGAGGGACAUCCUGGACAUGACUGCUAAGGACACUGAAGCAAAAGAUGGGGGAGAGGCACGUGGAGCUGGGACAACCUGAUUUGUAAGAAACACAUAUAUUCGUUCAGAUGACCAAGACACAUACAUUCCCCACGUGUACUGGUCUUGGUCCACGGUUCCCGGCUCAGGGCUCCCAUAAGCCUCGGAUUCUCCUGAGCCACUAUGGGGCCAUCUUUCUUGGCUUCCUGUCCUUGGUUCCUGAAGUCACUUCAGGGCCGUCCAGGUGACUUGGGGGUCUUGUUACUCAUAAUGAGCCCCUUCCUACCACAACUGGGCUCGUGUUAAUGGAGUGACUUUAGAAAACACCUCUGGUGACUGGGGGACGUUCAGUACCCCCCAGUUUCCAGGCAGGGGAGCAGGGGGCUUCAGAGAGUUUCCAGGUUGGGGAACAGAAUGCUUCUAAGUGCCACCAUGCUGGGCCAGCUCAACUCCAAGACGACGGAAGCUCCUUUGUUUAUGACGUCAUCUGAUGUAUCCACUUGGCUGCUGAUUUGUAUACUCUGAUAAACCAGUCUAAUGAGUCCCUGGGUGAGCUUCUGUGACCACUCCAGUGAAGUAAUCAGACCCCAGGAGGGGGUCACGGAAACCUCAGACACCCAGCUGGUCGGUCAGAAGCACAGGUGGCACCCUGACUUGCGGCUGGCAUCUGAAGAGGUCUGUGGGGGAGGGGCGGGGGGCAGGAGCCUGAGCCCUCAACUGGUGGGAUCUGAGGCCAUCUUCAGGUGGACAGCGUCAGAGGCAGCUGAACUGUGGGAUGCCCUGCUAGUGGCCAGAGAAGUGCUGCAGAUGGUGUGGGUUCGGGACCACCCUCCACCAACGGUGGAAUGGGGUGCAGAACCCAAGAGGAGCACCUGUCGAAUGUCAGUGUGCAUAUAAAUUACCUGGAAGUUUUUGCUAAACUGAGAUCACAAUUUGGUGGGUCAGGACAGGGCCAAAGAGCUCCGUGUCCAACGGGCUCCUCAGUGCUGCUGAGGACGGUCCAGGGACACGGCUGCCUCGGGUGGGUGGCGGCCAGGUGUGGGAAACAGCACAGCCCCGUUCCUUGCAGGAGGAGAUGGGCCUGAGCUACAGUGAUACAGUGACAGGGUGUGUCCCGGUGAGGAGGAAGCAGCUGCAGCCACGCCUGCAGCCCCCCGGCCUACUGAGGCAGGGAGCCAGACGGAAGUGGCGGGUGGGUAUCGGACCACAGACCACUCCAAGGGCAUUUCUUUAAAAAUGUGAAGCCCUGCUCAGACGGUGGCUUUACAGCCGGUCAGCCAACUCCCCCUAAGAAAAAGCACCUACGAAAGGUGAUUAUCAGACCGAUGCCUCCGUCUGAGGAGGUGUCCGGUAGCCCCGCUGGAGGGCUCUGCAUCUGGCCUCGAAACCACAACGUCACAGUCAUCCCGGUUAAGGUGCAAAUGACAAAACCGAGAGGAACGGCGACCCCCGGGACAGCUGAGACCAAGAGUCAGCUUCACUGCUGAGGAGCGAGCGGAUGAAAGUCAAACUGUGAGGACAAACACUAAUCUCCUCUUAGGGACCAACCACACGAGAAAUCGCUGGAGCCCCCGAGGCUGCUGAGAGAGAGAAGGGGUGGGAGCGACACGGCGCACUCGUGAGGUGGAACUGGCCGUUUCCACUCUGGCGCCCCACCCGGUGGCCUGGCUCUCGCUUCGGGCAGCUUCUCCCUGGCAUCCUCAGCUUCCUUUGUGGGCCGCGCUGACUGGGCCCAAAGUCCCAAGAUGUGGGAGACAAAGGAGAGACACGAUGAAGGCCUCUCUAGAAAUAAGGGUGCUGCUGCAAGGGCUGCAGAUGUGGCUCUGGGAUCUGACUGAGCUGUGCUGCCGCGACCGUCUCCUGGAUCUCUGGACCCCCUUCAACCAUCCUGCCAGCCCACUCUGCCCACGACUCAAAAUGUUGACGAUCCAGGCCUUCUGGAGUUGCAGUGUCGCCACUCUCGCCCAAGAGUUGCCAUUUAUGGGAACCCAUUCUGUGUCAAGGGCUUUGAAUACGUUAUUUCACAGUUAAGAAAACCGAAACCUAGACAGCGACAGAAAUGUGCCCCAGCCACUGGGAUUGGGACUGGGAUUGACCCUUGGGUCUGGCUGGCUCUGUGCGGAGGGGGUCCUGCAGCAGUGCAGGUGGGCACUGGCUCAGCCUGUGUGGUGGAAUUUAGCUAAGAUGAACACACACACACACAACAGCGCCUCUGCACACAAUGCUGGUUCAAGGUGGGGGGAGAACGGUCAGAGGAACAAAGGAUCCCACACUGAGCAGCCAGGGGGCUCCUUCACCUCAGUGAGGCAGCUAGGGCCUGCUGGCUAAACCCUCCUAAGACCACCUGCCCUCAAUACCUGCACAAAGCAGCAUCUGGGAAAAGACGUGUCUCCCGGGAGCCAGGAGCACAGCUCGACCAUGGGGGGAGCUGGUCCCUCCUUCCACGUGGGUGUCUGCACCCCAAUGCGUGGAACUGCACAAUCCAAAGCAUGACUGUGUGCCACACGCUUGUAAGCACCUCAGAGUUCUGGAGGAACCACGGUCUCUGAUGCUGAUUCAGGGGGCCAUGUUUGUACACAAAAUGGUUUUCUGUACACUCCUUUUUGUUGGACUUUCUUUUAGCAGGUGAGAGCCAGUGCCUGCCAGGGCCACCAACCCCGGAGCUGCAGCUUUAGGAUGCCAGAUGAAGGGGCCCUGCGGUGGCCGCUCCCAUCAUGGCUCUGCGGGCUGGGGGCAGCUUGCAGGCUUGUCAAACCCUCUCUUUAGGGGCUGGAGAAAGCACGGCAGAGCCAAAACAGCCCCCUGGGGGCUGGCUGCAGACUAACUAGCUCAGCGCCCCUGGAAAGUCGACUGGCCUCUCUCCACUAGUCAAUGAAAAUGGCACAACGGACGGGGGCCCAGGUUUCCCCAAGAAGUGCUUCCAGCACUUUCACACAAGCCCGAGGCUGUGGCAAGCCGGAGUCCCACAGCAGGCGGGGAGGGUUCUCAGAGGCCCUCUGUACGCAUGGCUGAAGAUACAAAUAAUACAUGUGAAAACCCAAGUACCAAUUACAAUGCCGACAAGUGGAAAGCCAGAUGCAGACCCCAUCCUCGCGCGGCCAUCCCUGGAGCACAGCAUGCGGGGGCUGUCGUGGGGCCUGUCGCAGGGCUGGCUGGAGACUGUUCUAUCUGGGAAGAGGAAAGGUUCCAGCUCCGGGCAGGAACAAAAAGGUUUAUGCAUCAUGAGCCAUUCAGACCCAUGUGAAGGGGCAGGGAGUGAGGGCGGAUGUGCCAAACCAAACGGCCCAGGCUUCACCCAGCUCCAGAACUUUCCUGAAUUAUCUCCCACCACUUCAUGCCUCCCUGUUCAGUUCUUUCGUGCACUUCCCAGUGGGGUUGUGGUUCUGGAGACUGAAGGUAAUGGCCAGCUGUUUCUGGUAGUGAGAAGCACUGGGUGACCUUAAGCUACAGAUUUCACCCCAGCCAGACUACAGGACGAGUAGUUAGGACCAAGUAGCCAGACUACAGGAAGUAUGAGGCAGGAUCUUUCCACUCGUGGCCUCUCCAAUCCAGCCUCCAAACUGCUUAUAAAGAGUUUCUUAGGACAUGCUUCAGAGUUGGCCUGUGCGCCCCUGGGGCCCUCCAGGCCCGUCCUGAUGCACUGAGAAGGACACUCAAAGCCCAUGCCUGACAAGAGCCUGGGUACGUCUCCCUACUGCUCACACUCUGCCCCGGCCUUCACUCAGUGACCCCACAGCCCAGGAACCACCUCAGGACUGUCCGAGUGACUCCCACUGCUCAGAGCAUUACCUCCACCACCCUCCCUGGCUCCUGCCAGCCUCAUGGCUGAGCCCAGGCUCCCCAUGACCUCCCAAGGGUCAGUGAUUCACGAAGAGGCUCACAGGAGUCAGCACAGUCUUGCCACCAGGAGUCAUUCUAGUGGAAGGAGACAGGGCAGGAGUAGGCAACGGAAAGGAGAAGUCCUGAGGAAACCAGACACAAGUUUGCAAGAGCUUGUGACCCCUCUCCCAGAGGUCACACAGGAUGCACUUAAUUUCUCCAGCAAUGAGUUAUGACAAAUGUGAGGUGCCAUCUACAGGGACGCUCAUGAGACUCAGUGACCGGGGUUUUUACUGCUAGAGCGCUCUCCACCUAGCACAUACCAGAAGGGAGACAGGAGUUCAGCAUAACCCACAGUGUUUGUGCAAAGAGUUUUAAGCAUCAUGAGCCAUUCUUAUCAGGAAUGGUAGGAACCUUCCAGAAAGCAAAGUUCCUGGACACCAGGCAAGGGCCAGCCCUCCAAAGGCAGCAGUCCUACGCUAGCUACUCAAACUCUUUCCUGCACAAGGGCAAACCCGCUACACUCCAUAGUUCCGCCCCAACCUAGAGUAAGGCCCCCCUGCUGGCCCUGCCUCCAUGCCUGGGUUUGGCCCUUCACAGCACUUUGCAACCUGUGCAAGCGCUUCGUACGUUGGCUCCCUCCCUCCUGUGUGCACCCGACCCACUCUUCACUGUGCCCCCUGCUCAGAGCAUGGUCGGUUCUCAGUGUCUGUGCAACUCUCCCAUCACCACAGAUGUGAACUAUGUCACUCUGUUUUCGAAUUACUCGAGUAAGUUACAGAAUUUACUUGAGGUCUCACUGUGGGCCGGGAACAGAGCCCCAAGCAGAACCCACAGCCUUCCAAGGUGGCCGGUGACAUGACACCGCCUGCACCCAAACCACCCCGUAUCCACAGCCAUAACGGCACAGAACCUAAGACACCCACAGGAUAACUGCUGCAAAAUUACAACAGUCUUGUCCUGGCAACUCAAAGGUCACCACGUGGACACGACAAGUCAGUGCAAGAGGAGCCUUACAAGCUGCACGUCACUGAAUGCCUCCCUCAGCCCUGAAGCCGGCAGGGGUCCCUCUUCAACAGAUAAGGAAACAGAGGCCAACAAGGUUCACUUACUCGCCCAGGGUCAUUGAGCGAGCAGGGCACAAGAGAGAACCAAGUCCAGGUCCUUCCAAGGCCCGGCUCCUCCUGAUUCUGCAGCUGGCUGGACGGUGGUGGGCCUGAGCCCUCUCCUGGGGUGUCCUCACCUCCCGUCUGAGCAGCAUCUCCUACCAUCGCCGACCUGCUGCCCCUGCGUCUCCCAUUUCUUCAGAAAAGCCCCCACUGUCCUCUGCAAUUCCUACCAGGACAGAAACCCUGAAAUUCCCCAGGCCUGAUGCUCACAUCCAAUGAUGGUGGGGAGCGGGGUGGGGGGUGGGUGUCGGAAGACCCCAAGGGGCCCAGGGUUCAGGUCUGUGAAGGCAGCUAGGAACACGGGAAUUUCCAGGACUCCUGAAGCCACGGCAGCAAACCUUUGCCACACACGAGUAUGGAUGCCCUGCCCUUCCAGGGCCAGCGCUGCCCAAAUGUCAAAUGACAGAGGGACAGAGAAUGGGAGGAAGAGGCAGGAAUAACCACCAUUCUAGCAUGGCCCCAGAGGGGAGAGAAGGCACAGAGCUGGGGGAAGGCCCAUCCACCAAGCACCCUGGCUGCUCCCGGAGAGGCUCGUGGGUUUCUGGACUGCCAAAGGGACGCCAGACUUGUUUCAUUCUGUAAACUUCUUCCAGACAAGAAGGGCUGAUUAGAAAAGCUAAUUAAAUCUUUUGAAGAUUAUCUCAGACCCGAAGCAAGGGAAGAACACAAAAUGCCUUCCCGCCCUGCUCCUCCACCCCCCAGACUCUGGCCUUCAUUAAGCUUUGAUUUCAAUCAAUUGCACACCCACUAAAAUUAACUUAUAAGGCCAAUAAAUUGCAACCGCAUGUUUGAAGGUAUUGUCUGCUGCAAGCCAAGAGCCAAGGAUUGCAGAGCACGGGGCAAGAUGUCUGGCACAGAUGGGAGUAAUCAUCUCUGGAAGAAAGCCGUGCCAGCCCCUGCAGUUAGAACAUCUGGUCUCAGCAGAAUCCAGGCCGACAGAGGCAACAGUGAGACCCAACGUGAAAGCUAGAGCUGGGAAGGUUUCCUUGGGAACCCCCCCCCAAAAAUCAAAGCGGUGAUCCUGGGGUUCACACCCCAAGUGCGAAGUCUCUGGCAGCAAGUGUCCACCCUACACUGCGGGUCUCACUGCUGAGUCUCUCCCAAGAAAGAUGCAUCGCGCAGAUCCGGUGAUGGGGUUCUGUGACUGAUGAGCUACCCUAGGCUUCGGCCUAAAAAAGCAGUCAACGUUGCCAAGAACGAGUGUGAAACGUUGAGCCAUGAGCCAGCCACCCAAGAGCCUGCCCUUUCUGCUACCUUUCCCACUCCCCAGGUGCCACGUCUGUUCCAGGGACAGUCCCUGGAUUGAGCAGGGCCUGUGCUCAGAGGUAGAAAACCACCUUGGGGCUUGGUAGAGAGGACUCGAGUGGCCCGGAUGUUGGUGACCAGGGUGGGAGGCUCGGAAUCAGGGUGGCCUGAGAGUAGACCCCACCCCGCCGGCCUGCAGAACAGGCUUGAUGUCCCCAAGGACGUGCGACACUUUGACCAGGGCCGCUUGCGUGAGGCAAUCAACAGUUGUUGGAUAGUUACUCCUCCUCGGGGGGAAAGCUGCCACCACAGGCCUUUCUGCCAUGAUGACAGCAAAAAAGGACAUCGAUAAAUGUCAGAGGGACUCAGGGGAGAACACAGCGAGGGAGCUGCAGAGAGUCAGGCAAGCAGGGACUUGACCUGCUUCCGAGGAUGGGCCCCUACUCGCCUUCUGCCCACACCCCAAAGGAGGGCACAUUUAUUCUGCAAGG